rnacentral:lncRNA from 1 species
GUCGCGUCCUGAGUUCAUAUGGAGCGAACCGUGUCUACGGCUUCUGAGGAAAACAUCCUCUGAAAGCACCUCCAAUGUCUAGAAAAGUAGGGAAACACCUGGACUGGUUACGUGGAGUCGAAGGAACAAUAUGACGAGCUUCGGCGAGACCUGGCCUCCAUCAGUAUUUCAUUUCAGACUGAGCGCUCCAGCAAGCGACAAGGGAAACUGCUACUCUCUAGCGAGCGUGGCCAUGUCCACAUCAAGGAAAUUGGUGUACUAUUUAAGGUAGUGCAAACCACGGACAAAGGCUGCCUUUUUGGGAGGGACAUUAAAGGUGUCCGAGGCUUAAAGAUCAGCGAGGAGAAAGAAACAGAGUGGUCGGCUGCCACCUUCAAGCAAAAGAAGGUUAAGCUUCAAGGAACCAAGAAAAAGGGGUGCACUGCAAUGAUGCACAUGAAAGAG